rnacentral:rRNA from 1 species
AUUGAACGCUGGCGGCAGGCCUAACACAUGCAAGUCGAGCGGAGCGGCGGACGGGUGAGUAAUGCCUAGGCAUCUGCCUGGUAGUGGGGGAUAACGUCCGGUAACGGGCGCUAAUACCGCAUACUAUCAGAUGAGCCUAGGUCGGAUUAGCUAGUUGGUGGGGUAAAGGCCUACCAAGGCGACGAUCCGUAACUGGUCUGGGAGAAUGAUCGGUCACAAUGGAACUGAGAAAGGGUCCAGACUCCUACGGAAGGCAGCAGUGGGGAAUAUUGGACAAUGGGCGAAAGCCUGAUCCAGCCAUGCCGCGUGUAUGAAAAAGGUCUUCGGAUUGUAAAGCACUUUAAGUUGGGAAGCGUUGCCAACAGAAUAAGCACCGGCUAACUUCGUGCCAGCCGCCGCGGUAAUAC